UACGGGGGGGGCAAGCGUUGUUCGGAAUUACUGGGCGUAAAGAGCGUGUAGGCGGCCACGCAGGUCCGUUGUGAAAACUGGAGGCUCAACCUCCAGACGUCGACGGAAACCGUAUGGCUAGAGUCCGGAAGAGGAGAGUGGAAUUCCUGGUGUAGCAGUGAAAUGCGCAGAUAUCAGGAAGAACACCAAUGGCGAAGGCAGCUCUCUGGGACGGUACUGACGCUGAGACGCGAAAGCGUGGGGAGCGAACAGG
rnacentral:rRNA from 1 species